rnacentral:piRNA from 1 species
UGGUAGCCUGGCCCAUUAACAAAAACC